ensembl:lncRNA
CGUGGGUUGGCUGCUGGGAUGGAAUGGGUUUCCCUCGGCAGCUCCUUCCACAGCAUUACCUGGAGAAAUCCCAAGCCGGGGCAGAGCAUCGCUGCGGUGAGGGCUCUUGCAAGGAGUGGGAGCCAUCCUGGCCUGCAGCGGUGCAGCUUUGAUCUCCCUGAAAGCACCUUGCUGGAGAUGCAUACUGUGGCUUGUUUUUCACCCACAUUUCUGACCCUGUGGGCCUCCACAAACCCGAAGGAGACCUCUUCUACUUCCCCAGACCUGCUCUGCAUGUCGUCCUGUUUGAGGGCACAGCACGGAGCUGCAGUGAUCGUCAGAGCGGAUUUCUUCCUGCACCACAACCACCUCCGCUGCGUAUGGAUCCCAAUUCGCCCUCAGGUCUGUGUGAGUCCCAUGGCCACACCGUGUCCCGGGGACCUUCUCAUGAGCCCAGCCCAGCACUGCCCGGCAGCUACUUGUACCCAACUCCUGCUGUCCAACCAUUGGUCUUCAGAGCAGUUUUCCUGGCUGGCACCAGCAUCCCAUGCGCUGGGAAUGGAUCAUGUAACGACACGACAUCCUGAGGUGAGAGGAACCCAUGGAGAUCACCGAGUCCAACUCCUGGCUGCACACAGGAAUGCUCAGACCCUCUAUCUGAGAGUGAUGUCCAAAUGCUUCUUGAACUCCGGCAGCUUGGGGCCGCUGCCCUGGGGAUCCUGUGCCAGGGCCCAUGUCCCUCUGGAGACGAACUUUGUCCUCACACCCAGCAGGAAUGCCAGGAGCAGCCUGGAGUGCUCCUGUCCGCUCCGAAGGACUCAGAAUACAAGGAGGAGACAAGGGCAGGAGAGCUGCAUGGAGAACCAGGAGCGGAUACAGCACCAGUGAGGAGGAGAUGGAGAGACACCCACCAGUGUCGCUGCCCUGCGCUGAUCUCCAUCCACGUGGAAGCCCCGUGCAGAGCAGAGCUGAGCAGCGCUCCGUGCCCCACAUGCAGUGCAGCUCUUGCUGUGUGACCUGUGGAUAGCGCAGGCCAUGCCGGAGGGCGGCUGUUGGGUCCGUGUUCAUCUUGUACGAGUUCAGCAGAGGGUCAGUGCUUUUAUUUACUGCGGCACCCAAACACUGCUGGGAACCGGAAUCAGAGAAUCACCGAAUGGCGAGUUGGAAGGGACCUCUAAAAGCCAUCAGUUCUCACUCCCUGCACUGAACUGGGGCACCCACAGCUCCAUCAGUGCUCAGAGCCCACCUCUGAGUUCGGCUGUCUGCAGGGAUGGGCACCACCGCCUCUCUGGGCACUCUGUGCAGUGCCGUAAAAAUCUCCUUCCUUACACCCACUCUGUAUCUCCCCUCGUUCAGUCUGAAGCCAUUUCCCCCUGUCCUAUCACACGGGCCCUGCUGAAGUCCAUCCCCUUCUUUCUUACAGCCCCUUCAGGCCCUCAGAGCUCUCAGCUCUCCUGGAGCCUUCUCUCCUCCAUGCUGCACAGCUCCAGCUCUCAGUCCAUCCUCAUACAGAGUUGUUCCAUCCCUCAGAUCCCUUCUGCUCACUGUUACCCUCAGAGAUAAAAGUGUUAAUGCUUGUUUGCUGCCCACAUCUUCCUCCGUGCCUGGCUGCAAUUUGGGCAUCCAGCAAUCACAGCAGGCAACGCUGCUUCCCUCACCCUUCCUCACUCUCUGCAGCAAUCACAGCAAGCCAUCCAAUUUCCCUGUCUUCCUGUGGCAGUGCAAGGCUAGAAGCCAUUAGUGAUUGGGUCUCGAUGUACCUCAUUCUCGGUUUAAAUAUUGAAAAGGCUUCGAAACACCUUUUCAUCCUCGUGGUUGACCUGAAAUGGUAUCUGUUGCACUGCGCCGCUGUUAUUUUUUGGUGAGCUGUCAUGGUUUCUGAUUGCGGAGCGCGGAGAUGCAGCGCUCCCGAGCCCUGACACGCAGCAGGACUUGGAGUUCAUGCUGAAUAUUUCAUGCAGACACAUGCAGACAGAGGCACCAGUCUGUUUUCAGUUCUGAUUUUCUCUGCUCCUCUAGGUGCAUAAAUGAUGCAUCUUGUUUAAGCUUCCCAGUUUCGGAGGGGAGAAGAGCGCUGCCGGUCGCGUGAGGUUUGUGUGAAGCAGACCCCGUGUUUGCAGCUCCGUGAGCAGUGGGUGGGGGCAGAGGAUGGCAGCGGGCACCCACUGCAGCACAGCACGGCACGGCACGGCACGGCACGGCACGGCACAGCAGUGGGGUUCGCUCUGCUCCGGCAGGCUCUGACAAGCAUCCGUGACCUCCCGGUAAUGAGGUGCCUGUUGCAGCCUCUCGAAGGCUUUAUCAGAUCGAAGCCAGCGCUGUUUUCAUGGUGAUUAAUCCUCGCUGAGCAUCUCCGAGGGGAACUCCAAUCUCCGCUGGUGAGCAGGGAUGGAGCGGCCGGAGCUCAGCAUGCUCCUGCUCGUGGUGGGGCACUCAGACGUCCGUGCAGCACGGAGCUGCCCCGGGCAGAGGCAGACCUGGGGGGCUGUGGGGCUGGGAGCUGCACCAGGACAUGGGGGGGGCUGUGGGGCUCCUCGUCCCGACACGACCCUGAGCAGCUGAACACCACAACGAGAGAGGCUGUGCACGUGAAUGGGGGCAGACCUGAAACCUUUUUCUUUUCCUUCACACUGAAUGUGUUUUCAGUAAUUUCAGUGCUAAAAGCCCUCAUUAAGCUUUAAUCCCUGACACCAAAUCUCCUCAUACGGCGGCUGUGGGACCGGAGUAACCCUGGCCCAGGCUUUGAACCGCCAUCAAGAGUGAUUUCCAGAUGAAACUUGUGUUCUCAGAUGGGGAACGUUCAGUAUUGGGAUUCUGACUCAUGAAAUAGCCCUUUAAAUAUUAAAAUGGUUUUGUAAGGACCCUUGACCCCGGUUCACAACUGUAGGAUGUGCACUUUCGGGUCAAUUGAAUCAGAGAUUCAGGCAGGGGUGGCAGAGAAUAAACAACAGGUGAGCUGAGGAGGGGAAGGGAAGGGAAAAUAACUGGCUGGCUUUAUCCAAAAUCCCGAGCAAUCGAUGCGGCGUCUCCACGGGCUGCAGGCCACGGCCUGGUGAGAUGGAGGAGAUAAAUCGGACAGAGGAUCAAUUGUGGGCAAAAGGAAGGAGGGCAGACGUCACAAAUCCAAUAUUUUUUUAGAAAAGAACAACGCACGGUUAAAAGCUUUGGCUUGAUGGAUUUGGCAUUACAAUAUCAAAGCUUUUGUCAGCGCUGGGAAAUAUUUCACCUCGAGUUGAUGCUCUUUGGCAAAAAAUAGGGAGAAAAAAAAUCAGCAUUUUCCUCCCUUUUGCAAAGGAAAGGAAGCCUCCCUGGGAAGAGUGCUUCCACCACAAGGCCAGGCAGCACUCGGCCUGAUCGUGGGGGAGCACAGCAUGGCCAGAGAGCUGAGUAGAGCGGCAGAUAAGACACAAAGCGUCGAUGGAGCAGGGCACGAGCGAUGCCCAGGCAUGGAAGGGGGGAGGAGCGACGGCAUCGGGCUGCAGAGAGUAAGAAGAUGGGGACAGAACGUCGUGCUGCGCCGUGCUUAUCAGCCCCACAGCGCCGGGGGUUGGUGCGCAGUGCUGCCGUGGGGGCUCCCGGCUCUCCCGCGGUGUUUUCGGUGUCGCCGCCUGCGGGGAUUUCCCUCUCGGUCCUCCCGAG